CGCUGGUUAAAUAUUGCAAUUUUGGCUUUGGAUGACAGAUAUUUUAAGUUAAACUACUUUGACUAAGUUAACAGAUAAACAUUUACAAUAAAAUACAGAAAAAGGGUCGCCGACACCAUCUCGAAUACCUUGACAAGAAAGUGAUUUGUGACGGUUUUUGUCAACGAACUGUACAGUGAUUAUUUAAAAACGCACAACGAACGCGACACAUUUGAUUGAAC
rnacentral:lncRNA from 1 species